rnacentral:rRNA from 1 species
CUACGGAGGGGGCUAGCGUUGUUCGGAAUUACUGGGCGUAAAGCGCGCGUAGGCGGGCUGGUUAGGUGGGGGUGAAAUCCCAGGGCUCAACCCUGGAACUGCCCUCAAUACUGCCAGUCUUGAGUUCGAGAGAGGUAAGUGGAAUUCCUAGUGUAGAGGUGAAAUUCGUAGAUAUUAGGAAGAACACCAGUGGCGAAGGCGGCUUACUGGCUCGAUACUGACGCUGAGGCGCGAAAGCGUGGGGAGCAAACAGGAUUAGAAACCCCGGUAGUCC